rnacentral:rRNA from 1 species
GACGAACGCUGGCGGCGUGCUUAACACAUGCAAGUCACGGGGGCCCGCAAGGGUAACCGGCGAACGGGUGCGUAACACGUGAGCAAGCUUCCGAUUUGUGGGGGAUAGCCGGCCUAACGGCCGGGUAAUACCGCAUACGUUCACUGGACGGCAUCGUCUGGUGAGGAAACCUCCGGGGCAAAUCGAGGCGCUCGCGGCCUAUCAGCUAGUUGGCGGGGUAACGGCCCACCAAGGCGACGACGGGUAGCUGGUCUGAGAGGAUGGCCAGCCACAUUGGGACUGCGACACGGCCCAGACUCCUACGGGAGGCAGCAGUGGGGAAUAUUGCGCAAUGGACGAAAGUCUGACGCAGCGACGCCGCGUGUGGGAUGAAGCCUUUCGGGGUGUAAACCACUGUUGCCCGGGACGAAACUCCUUUUUCGAGAGGAUUGACGGUACCGGGUGAGGAAGCACCGGCUAACUCUGUGCCAGCAGCCGCGGUAAUACAGAGGGUGCGAGCGUUGUCCGGAAUCACUGGGCGUAAAGGGCGCGUAGGUGGCUUGGUAAGCGUGUGGUGAAAGUCCGGGGCUCAACCCCGGAUCUGCCGUGCGAACUGCCGAGCUCGAGCAUUGUAGAGGCAGGUGGAAUUUCGGGU